UACGUAGGUGACAAGCGUUGUCCGGAUUUACUGGGCGUAAAGAGCGCGCAGGCGGCUUGGCAAGUCGGGUGUGAAAUCCCGGGGCUCAACCCCGGGACUGCAUUCGAUACUGUCAGGCUAGAGGUAGGUAGGGGAGAUCGGAAUUCCUGGUGUAGCGGUGAAAUGCGCAGAUAUCAGGAGGAACACCGGUGGCGAAGGCGGAUCUCUGGGCCUUACCUGACGCUCAGGCGCGAAAGCUAGGGGAGCGAACAGG
rnacentral:rRNA from 1 species